GAUGAACGCUAGCUACAGGCUUAACACAUGCAAGUCGAGGGGGAAACGACAUCGAAAGCUUGCUUUUGGUGGGCGUCGACCGGCGCACGGGUGAGUAACGCGUAUCCAACCUGCCCACCACUUGGGGAUAACCUUGCGAAAGUAAGACUAAUACCCAAUGAUAUCCCACGAAGGCAUCCGAAUGGGAUUAAAGAUUUAUCGGUGAUGGAUGGGGAUGCGUCUGAUUAGCUUGUUGGCGGGGUAACGGCCCACCAAGGCAACGAUCAGUAGGGGUUCUGAGAGGAAGGUCCCCCACAUUGGAACUGAGACACGGUCCAAACUCCUACGGGAGGCAGCAGUGAGGAAUAUUGGUCAAUGGGCGAGAGCCUGAACCAGCCAAGUAGCGUGCAGGAUGACGGCCCUAUGGGUUGUAAACUGCUUUUAUGUGGGAAUAAAGUGAGGGACGUGUCCCUUUUGUAGGUACCACAUGAAUAAGGACCGGCUAAUUCCGUG
rnacentral:rRNA from 1 species